rnacentral:lncRNA from 1 species
GUAAGCCCUGCUCAGUAAGAAGGCUCCGCAGGUCGGCAGGUAGGAAGAGCACUACCUCGCACACUGCGCAUGCGCCACCUCGGGUGGCCUCAAGGUUGCUGUCGGGAGUUGGGUUUGAGGUCGGCUCCCUCUGGCUGCUGUCUCUUUAACCUGAACUAGAGAAGUCCUCCGCGAUGCUGCAGUUUCCCGCUGGCUUUCUCGGAGCCACCUUGCGGGCAGAUAUCCGAGAAUCAGAGUUCAUUCUCUUCAUCUUGCCCAUCUCUUACCUCUGCUGGCGAGUUCUUCGUUGCAUCCCAGUCUGAAAGUGCUAGUCGAACUCCCAAUUUGCUGUUGCCCGCAAGCUUCCUCUAGCAGGUCAUCUCCCUUCGAAACAGAUGCUUUCAAAUCUUGUGUCCUGGAAAGAUUAGUAACCGUGCUCUUUAGCACUGGUGUUUGUAAGGGUAACCAGGCUACAACUGAGGACCUGAGAAUUUCGGCUUUGAAUCAAGUACUUGAGCUUUUACGUGCUAGGACCCGUGACUUUUGUUCACUGCUCGUGACUCUUUCUGUCUUCUUUCACAUUUUUAGCCAGGAUCCAGUUGGCCUUACUAAGUAAAUGACCUCCAGAAAAAUGAAGUAUCGGCCAGGCGUGGUGGCUCACACCUGUUACCCCAGCACUGUGGGAGGCCGAGUUGGGCGGAUCACUUGAGGCCAGCCUGGCCAACAUGGUGAAACCCCGUCUCUACUAAAAAUACAAAAAUUAGCCAGGCGUGGUGGUGCACGCCUGUAAUCCCAGCUGCUCCGGAGGCUGAGGCAGGAGAAUCGCUUGAACCCGGGAGGUGGAGGUUGCAGUGAGUCGAGCUGGCACCACUGGACUUCAGCCUGACCGACGGUGAGACUCCGGCUCAAAAGAAACAAAAACAAACAAACAAACAAAGAAAAAUAAAGUAUCACUGUUCUAAAACUUA